AGCGUCUGCUCGUCCUCGCACAGGUCAUAGGGCAUGUUCCCGUCUGAGUUGACGGCCAAGAGGUGAAAAGCCCAUCUGCUCCCCACCACAUCGGCCACGUCACUGACCACUGAGCACUCUGGACAGGCCUCCUGGAAGGGCACCUGCAGGUCAUUCCGGGCAGCAGCCUCCAGCAGGGUGACGGAGGGAGGGAAGAGCACCCGCUUCCGGGGCCCCCGGCAGG